AAUUAAACCCAGUAAUUAAAAUUAGGGUUUCUCAACGUAAUCAAUUAGGGUUUCUAAUUGACCAUUAGUGGUUCUUUAAUUAUCUGUGUAUGUUACUAACACAGUCGUUAUGGUUUCUAAUUUCAACCGGUUAGGGUUAUAAUAAUUAGGGUUUGUCCUAAUUAUCGACGUACAACAGUAAUUAGGGUUUCUUCUAAUUAUCGAUAUUUUUAUUCACAGUAAUUUCAUAUACACAG
rnacentral:lncRNA from 1 species